rnacentral:rRNA from 1 species
GAGUUUGAUCCUGGCUCAGGAUGAACGCUGGCGGCGUGCCUAACACAGCAAGUCGAACGAUCCCUUCGGGGAUAGUGGCGCACGGGUGAGUAACGCGUAGCUAACCUGCCCCAAAGAGGAGGACAACAUCUGGAAACAGGUGCUAAUACUCCAUAAUCUCUUACGAGAAAAGCUUUCGCGCUUUGGGAUGGGGCUGCGAGCCAUCAGCUAGUUGGUGCGGUAAAGGCGCACCAAGGCGACGACGGCUAGGGGACCUGAGAGGGUGACCCCCCACACUGGAACUGAGACACGGUCCAGACUCCUACGGGAGGCAGCAGUGAGGAAUAUUGCACAAUGGGCGCAAGCCUGAUGCAGCGACGCCGCGUGGGCGAAGAAGGGUUUCGGCCUGUAAAGCCCUUUUCUGUGUGACGAGAAUGGACGGUAGCACAGGAAUAAGUCUCGGCUAACUACGUGCCAGCAGCCGCGGUAAUAC